rnacentral:rRNA from 1 species
UACGUAGGUGGCUAGCGUUGUCCGGAUUUACUGGGCGUAAAGAGCGCGCAGGCGGUCGUUCAAGUCGAGUGUGAAAGCCCCCGGCUCAACUGGGGAGGGUCACUCGAUACUGAUCGACUCGAAGGCAGGAGAGGGAAGCGGAAUUCCCGGUGUAGUGGUGAAAUGCGUAGAUAUCGGGAGGAAUACCAGCGGCGAAGGCGGCCUUCUGGACGGUGACUGACGCUGAGACGCGAAAGCGUGGGGAGCAAACAGG